AUGCAUUGCCAUGGGCGCAGCCUGAUGCAGCCAUGCCGCGUGUGUGAAGAAGGCCUUCGGGUUGUAAAGCACUUUCAGUCGUGAGGAAGGUGGUGUAGUUAAUAGCUGCAUUAUUUGACGUUAGCGACAGAAGAAGCACCGGCUAACUCCGUGCCAGCAGCCGCGGUAAUACGGAGGGUGCGAGCGUUAAUCGGAAUUACUGGGCGUAAAGCGCAUGCAGGUGGUUUGUUAAGUCAGAUGUGAAAGCCCGGGGCUCAACCUCGGAAUAGCAUUUGAAACUGGCAGACUAGAGUACUGUAGAGGGGGGUAGAAUUUCAGGUGUAGCGGUGAAAUGCGUAGAGAUCUGAAGGAAUACCGGUGGCGAAGGCGGCCCCCUGGACAGAUACUGACACUCAGAUGCGAAAGCGUGGGGAGCAAACAGGAUUAGAUACCCUGGUAGUCCACGCCGUAAACGAUGUCUACUUGGAGGUUGUGGCCUUGAGCCGUGGCUUUCGGAGCUAACGCGUUAAGUAGACCGCCUGGGGAGUACGGUCGCAAGAUUAAAACUCAAAUGAAUUGACGGGGGCCCGCACAAGCGGUGGAGCAUGUGGUUUAAUUCGAUGCAACGCGAAGAACCUUACCUACUCUUGACAUCCAGAGAACUUUCCAGAGAUGGAUUGGUGCCUUCGGGAACUCUGAGACAGGUGCUGCAUGGCUGUCGUCAGCUCGUGUUGUGAAAUGUUGGGUUAAGUCCCGCAACGAGCGCAACCCUUUAUCCUUGUUUGCCAGCGAGUAAUGUCGGGAACUCCAGGAGACUGCCGGGUGAUAAACCGGAGGAAGGUGGGGGACGAC
rnacentral:rRNA from 1 species